rnacentral:rRNA from 1 species
GACGAGGGAUCCUAGCGUUGCUCGGAAUCAUUGGGCGUAAAGCGGAUGUAGGUGGCUCUUCAAGUCAGGAGUGAAAGCCCUGGGCUUAACCCAGGAAGUGCUUUUGAUACUGUUGAGCUUGAGUGCGGGAGAGGAUGGUAGAAUUCCUGGUGUAGUGGUGAAAUACGUAGAUAUCAGGAGGAAUUCCGGUGAGGAAGCUGGCUAUCUGGCCUAGCACUGACACUCAGAUCCGAAAGCGUGGGGAUCAAACAGG